rnacentral:rRNA from 1 species
UUUGGUUAAGUUAGAAAGGGCGCACGGUGGAUGCCUUGACACUAGGAGUCGAUGAAGGACGGGACUAACGCCGAUAUGCUUCGGGGAGCUGUAAGUAAGCUUUGAUCCGAAGAUUUCCGAAUGGGGAAACCCACCAUACGUAAUGGUAUGGUAUCCUUAUCUGAAUACAUAGGGUAAGGAAGACAGACCCAGGGAACUGAAACAUCUAAGUACCUGGAGGAAGAGAAAGCAAAUGCGAUUUCCUGAGUAGCGGCGAGCGAAACGGAACAUAGCCCAAACCAAGAGGCUUGCCUCUUGGGGUUGUAGGACAUUCUAUACGGAGUUACAAAGGAACGAGGUAGACGAAGCGACCUGGAAAGGUCCGUCGUAGAGGGUAACAACCCCGUAGUCGAAACUUCGUUCUCUCUUGAAUGUAUCCUGAGUACGGCGGAACACGUGAAAUUCCGUCGGAAUCUGGGAGGACCAUCUCCCAAGGCUAAAUACUCCCUAGUGAUCGAUAGUGAACCAGUACCGUGAGGGAAAGGUGAAAAGCACCCCGGAAGGGGAGUGAAAGAGAUCCUGAAACCGUGUGCCUACAAAUAGUCAGAGCCCGUUAACGGGUGAUGGCGUGCCUUUUGUAGAAUGAACCGGCGAGUUACGAUCCCGUGCGAGGUUAAGCUGAAGAGGCGGAGCCGCAGCGAAAGCGAGUCUGAAUAGGGCGUUUAGUACGUGGUCGUAGACCCGAAACCAGGUGAUCUACCCAUGUCCAGGGUGAAGUUCAGGUAACACUGAAUGGAGGCCCGAACCCACGCACGUUGAAAAGUGCGGGGAUGAGGUGUGGGUAGCGGAGAAAUUCCAAUCGAACCUGGAGAUAGCUGGUUCUCCCCGAAAUAGCUUUAGGGCUAGCCUUAAGUGUAAGAGUCUUGGAGGUAGAGCACUGAUUGGACUAGGGGUCCUCAUCGGAUUACCGAAUUCAGUCAAACUCCGAAUGCCAAUGACUUAUCCUUAGGAGUCAGACUGCGAGUGAUAAGAUCCGUAGUCAAAAGGGAAACAGCCCAGACCGCCAGCUAAGGUCCCAAAGUGUGUAUUAAGUGGAAAAGGAUGUGGAGUUGCUUAGACAACUAGGAUGUUGGCUUAGAAGCAGCCACCAUUUAAAGAGUGCGUAAUAGCUCACUAGUCGAGUGACUCUGCGCCGAAAAUGUACCGGGGCUAAAUACACCACCGAAGCUGCGGAUUGAUACCGAAUGGUAUCAGUGGUAGGGGAGCGUUCUAAGGACAGUGAAGUCAGACCGUAAGGACUGGUGGAGUGCUUAGAAGUGAGAAUGCCGGUAUGAGUAGCGAAAGACGGGUGAGAAUCCCGUCCACCGAAUGCCUAAGGUUUCCUGAGGAAGGCUCGUCCGCUCAGGGUUAGUCAGGACCUAAGCCGAGGCCGACAGGCGUAGGCGAUGGACAACAGGUUGAUAUUCCUGUACCACCUCUUUAACGUUUGAGCAAUGGAGGGACGCAGAAGGAUAGAAGAAGCGUGCGAUUGGUUGUGCACGUCCAAGCAGUUAGGCUGAUAAGUAGGCAAAUCCGCUUAUCAUAAAGGCUGAGCUGUGAUGGGGAAGCUCCUUAUGGAGCGAAGUCUUUGAUUCCCCGCUGCCAAGAAAAGCUUCUAGCGAGAUAAAAGGUGCCUGUACCGCAAACCGACACAGGUAGGCGAGGAGAGAAUCCUAAGGUGUGCGAGAGAACUCUGGUUAAGGAACUCGGCAAAAUGACCCCGUAACUUCGGGAGAAGGGGUGCUUUCUUAACGGAAAGCCGCAGUGAAUAGGCCCAAGCGACUGUUUAGCAAAAACACAGCUCUCUGCGAAGCCGUAAGGCGAAGUAUAGGGGGUGACACCUGCCCGGUGCUGGAAGGUUAAGGAGAGGGGUUAGCGUAAGCGAAGCUCUGAACUGAAGCCCCAGUAAACGGCGGCCGUAACUAUAACGGUCCUAAGGUAGCGAAAUUCCUUGUCGGGUAAGUUCCGACCCGCACGAAAGGUGUAACGAUUUGGGCACUGUCUCAACCAGAGACUCGGUGAAAUUAUAGUACCUGUGAAGAUGCAGGUUACCCGCGACAGGACGGAAAGACCCCGUGGAGCUUUACUGUAGCCUGAUAUUGAAUUUUGGUACAGUUUGUACAGGAUAGGCGGGAGCCAUUGAAACCGGAGCGCUAGCUUCGGUGGAGGCGCUGGUGGGAUACCGCCCUGACUGUAUUGAAAUUCUAACCUACGGGUCUUAUCGACCCGGGAGACAGUGUCAGGUGGGCAGUUUGACUGGGGCGGUCGCCUCCUAAAGUGUAACGGAGGCGCCCAAAGGUUCCCUCAGAAUGGUUGGAAAUCAUUCGUAGAGUGCAAAGGCAUAAGGGAGCUUGACUGCGAGACCUACAAGUCGAGCAGGGACGAAAGUCGGGCUUAGUGAUCCGGUGGUUCCGCAUGGAAGGGCCAUCGCUCAACGGAUAAAAGCUACCCCGGGGAUAACAGGCUUAUCUCCCCCAAGAGUCCACAUCGACGGGGAGGUUUGGCACCUCGAUGUCGGCUCAUCGCAUCCUGGGGCUGUAGUCGGUCCCAAGGGUUGGGCUGUUCGCCCAUUAAAGCGGUACGCGAGCUGGGUUCAGAACGUCGUGAGACAGUUCGGUCCCUAUCCGUCGUGGGCGUAGGAAAUUUGAGAGGAGCUGUCCUUAGUACGAGAGGACCGGGAUGGACGCACCGCUGGUGUACCAGUUGUUCUGCCAAGGGCAUAGCUGGGUAGCUAUGUGCGGAAGGGAUAAGUGCUGAAAGCAUCUAAGCAUGAAGCCCCCCUCAAGAUGAGAUUUCCCAUAGCGUAAGCUAGUAAGAUUCCUGAAAGAUGAUCAGGUUGAUAGGUUCGAGGUGGAAGCAUGGUGACAUGUGGAGCUGACGAAUACUAAUAGAUCGAGGACUUAACCAUAUAA